rnacentral:rRNA from 1 species
GACGAACGCUGGCGGCGCGCUUAACACAUGCAAGUCGAGCGAGAACCAGGACUUCGGUCCUGGGGACAGCGGCGAACGGGUGAGUAACACGUGGAUAACCUGCCCUCGGCACCGGGAUAGCCCGAGGAAACUCGGAUUAAUACCGGAUAGCCCUUCCGACUCUCGAGUCGGUCCGAAAAGGUAGCUUCGGCCUCUGGCCGAGGAUGGGUCCGCGGCGGAUUAGCUUGUUGGUGGGGUAAUGGCCUACCAAGGCUCCGAUCUGUAGCGGGUCUGAGAGGAUGAUCCGCCACACUGGAACUGAGACACGGUCCAGACUCCUACGGGUGGCUG